UAGGUUUCUGUGAUUAUUCUUUUUAAAAAUUCAUAUUUUGGUGCUAAAGUUGGUUUUAAUAGCAAGGGGGCCGUGUCACAAGAGAAGAGAUGCACCUUGUGGGCUUGGGGUCCACAACAGAGUCCUGCACUGGUGUCCACCCUGGCAGCAGUAGAGAAGAGACAGCACCCCUCCCCAGUCACCCUGGCAACUCUCCUCCAAUGGGAAGAGGAGAGACAACCAAAGUCACCAGCAGCCAGUUAGAGGGCACAAGACAGCCAAGCAGCAGCGCUGAAAGCAGUUUCUGACCCUGGGCCCAGCCCCGGAUGCCUGGGAAAGCAGGAGGGAGGCUACAAAUAGCCCUGCUUUCCUCCAUGUGGCAAGACUAGCUUGGGAGCGAAGCAGAGAGAAGGUCUCCCUAUAGCCAGCCAGCAUAGCACUGCCAGGCCCAGCAGUGACCUAUCUGUAACCUCAGCCAGCAGAAGAGCCUCGGGAGGGUACAAUCUGCUCCUCCUGCCGCCUCUUGCCAGCAACAGAAGGAGACAGCCUGGUUCUCCUUCCACCACCUGCAGCCUGCUUGCCCUGCAGCCAGCCCACACCCGAUCUGGGAUUUUGUAUCCUGAGACCUGACCUGCUUGCAUCUGAACCUGUGGGUUCCAAGCUUUAAAGACUGUCAGCCCUGUUCCAGAAGGGUGUGGAUGUUUUAGUUCCUCUCCAGUGAUCCCCAGGAAGUACCUGCAUGCUUGCACCAGUCUUCUGAGUGCUCAGCCAGAAAAGGAACCUGAAAAAUAAAUAGACUUGGCAGAAAUAGAAAAUUAUGUAUAAUUUAAUGAUUUUGACAGAGACCCAAGAUGUGGUUGGCUGUAGUUGUGACAUGUUUGAUCCAUGGAACUAUAUCAGUCCAAGGACUUGUUGUCGAUAACACACCUUUAGAUCCUGAAACAUUUAUGAAUAUUAGUGAGAUCAUCACCCACUGGGGAUACCCCAGUGAAGAGUAUGAUGUUGUGACAGUGGAUGGCUACAUACUUAGUGUUAACAGAAUACCUCAUGGGAGAGUACGUGCUGACAACACAGGUCCAAAGCCUGUUGUGUUUCUGCAGCAUGGUUUACUUACAGAUGGCAGCACCUGGAUUACCAAUUUGCCCAAUAACAGCCUGGGCUUCAUACUGGCAGAUGCAGGCUAUGAUGUUUGGAUAGGAAACAGCAGAGGGAAUACCUGGUCUAGACGACACGUAACCCUUUCAGUGCACCAAAAGAAAUUCUGGGCUUUCAGCUUUGAUGAACUUGCUAAAUAUGACCUACCAGCAGUGAUUAAUUUUAUUGUGCAGAAAACUGGACAAGAGCAGUUGUAUUAUGUUGGCCAUUCACAAGGCACCACUGUAGCUUUCAUAGCAUUUUCAACCAUGCCCCUGCUGGCUCAAAGAAUCAAAAUGUAUUUUGCCUUAGCUCCUGUAGUCACAAUGAAAUAUGCCAAAUCCCCAUUGACAAAGCUUGCAUUACUUCCCAAUUCAAUUAUCAAGAUUUUUUUUGGGAAUAAAGAUUUCUUACCCCAUACUUACUUUGGUGAGGUGGUUGCUGUUGAAUUUUGCAGCCAUAUGAGAUUAUCAGAGAUUUGUGGUAAUAUCCUGUUUGUGCUGUGUGGAUUUAAUGAGAAGAACUUAAAUAUGAGCCGAGUACAUGUGUAUACAGCACAUGCCCCAGCGGGAACAUCUGUACAAAAUAUGAUUCAUUGGAAACAGGCAAUUAAAACUGGUAAACUAAAAGCCUAUGACUGGGGAAUCUGGUUCAACCGUUUGCACUAUAAUCAGGAUACUCCUCCCUUAUAUAAUGUGAAGCGCAUGAAAGUCCCAACUGCAAUGUGGAGUGGUGGAAAUGACUGGCUCGCUGACCCUAAGGAUGUUGCCCUUCUGUUCCCACAAGUCACUGAUCUGGUUUACCACAAGGUGAUUCCUGACUGGAACCAUUUGGAUUUCAUCUGGGGCCUGGAUGCACCUGAGCGCAUGUAUAAUGAAAUCCUUGACUUGAUGAGAAAAAACCCGUGAAAAUAAUGUAGCUGUAGAAUCUAAGAUUUGAUUAAUUUCUAUUGAUAUCUGUUUUUCUUGAUUUUUAGUGAACUACAAAACUGUUUGCAUACAAAACAUAAUGGUCUAUAUUCACUAUAUUUACUUUAAUAAGAUUCUCUUUAAUGAUCUUAAAUAUUAGGUCAGCUCCACAUACAUAUCCAAAGAAAGUAAUUCAACUAGCAACGUACAUUUUAAAAGCACCACACACAAGUUUUAAGUCUUCUGCUUUCUAAAGUAUGUGUCGUAAAUUAAAUACAUCAUGAAUAGGAGGAUAGAUCUGCUUCCAAGAUGAUUUUCUUAGCUGGUGUCUGAAUGACCGUUUCUGUAAGGUGAAUUGAAUGCAUGGGGCACAACUGAUACAUGUGGCUAAACUAGACACGCAAUCACACAUGCAAAUUCAGAAAAGCACCCAAGUUGUUAAUUACUUUUUAAACAUGUAAUUCCUUUGUCACUGGAGCUAUGCUGAUUUUAAUGCAGCUGAGGAUCUGGGCCAGAUUUUAUUUCAUGGUCCCAGUCAGCCACCUAGGAUCAGGGUCAAUACUUCUGUCACGUGACCAAAAGUCAUUCUGCACUAAUCCCAGUGAUUAUCAAUACAGACCAUGAAGAGAUCCAGUAAGCAUGUCUUUUUAUUGACCCCUUGAAGAAGAAAGUAGUAGAAAAAGGCUAUUAGGAGGAGAUUGUUCUAUAUACGUAUUAGCUGACGUGUGCCAUUAACUAAAAAUCUCUGUAAUUGUAAUCUAUCAUCUCUAUUUACAUAGC